rnacentral:rRNA from 1 species
CCACGGGAGGCUGCAGUGGGGAAUAUUGGACAAUGGGCGAAAGCCUGAUCCAGCCAUGCCGCGUGUGUGAAGAAGGCCUUCGGGUUGUAAAGCACUUUCAGUGGGGAAGAAAGCCUUGGGGCUAAUACCCUCGAGGAAGGACAUCACCCACAGAAGAAGCACCGGCUAACUCCGUGCCAGCAGCCGCGGUAAUACGGAGGGUGCGAGCGUUAAUCGGAAUUACUGGGCGUAAAGCGCGCGUAGGCGGUCUGAUAAGCCGGUUGUGAAAGCCCCGGGCUCAACCUGGGAACGGCAUCCGGAACUGUCAGGCUAGAGGGCAGGAGAGGAAGGUAGAAUUCCCGGUGUAGCGGUGAAAUGCGUAGAGAUCGGGAGGAAUACCAGUGGCGAAGGCGGCCUUCUGGACUGACACUGACGCUGAGGUGCGAAAGCGUGGGUAGCAAACAGGAUUAGAUACCCGAGUAGUC